CCUACGGGCGGCAGCAGUGGGGAAUAUUGCGCAAUGGGGGAAACCCUGACGCAGCAACGCCGCGUGAGUGAGGAAGUCUCUCGGAAUGUAAAGCUCUAUUAGCGGGGAAGAAGGAAGACGGUACCCGACUAAGAAGCCCCGGCCAACUACGUGCCAGCAGCCGCGGUAAGACGUAGGGGGCGAGCGUUCUCCGGAGUUACUGGGUGUAAAGGGAGCGUAGACGGCGUCGCAAGUCUGAAGUGGAAGCCCGUGGCUCAACCGCGGAACCGCUUUGGAAACUGCGAGGCUGGAGUGUUGGAGAGGUAAGCGGAAUUUCUGGUGUAGCGGUGAAAUGCGUAGAUAUCAGGAGGAACACCGGUGGCGAAGGCGGCUUACUAGACAGUGACUGACGUUGAGGCUCGAAAGCGUGGGGAGCGAACAGGAUUAGAUACCCGAGUAGUC
rnacentral:rRNA from 1 species